rnacentral:lncRNA from 1 species
UUUCUAGAUUCCGUAUAUAUGUGUAACACUGUAUAUUAAACAUAUAUGAAUUACUACAGGAUCAGUGGCUUAUCAUUUGUUGAAAUAUUACAUUCUCUUUUGAGAAUUUCGAAGAAUUUUCUACAAGAUAUUUUGAAUACACUUCUAUUUACGAACAUUGCUCAAACACAGGUAUACAAAAAUGGAGGUGUUUCACACUAUGAUGCAGCUUAAGUUGAUUCUAGAAUUGACACUGCAUAUCUGAAAUAAACAUGUAUUAGAAUGCCUACAGGCUAAAGCUAUAGCUCUUUAAAGCUCCUAAAUACUGAGAUUGGUCUCUUUGUAAGUGUAGCCUAUCUAAAAUGAAAUGUUUUCCUGGCAUUUUCAAAAUUUCUCAGGUCAUCCAAUGGACUCCAUGAAAUAUUAAGGUUCAUUCAGCUCUGUAGAUUUGUGCUAUGUUCCCUAUUUCUUGUUAUAAAUUCACAAUUUGGCCUCUACCAAUCCCUUGCUUCCCUUAAUUCACAAUCAUGCUCUCUAGACAGGGGCAUGUUUGAAAAAACAACGAAGAUGAGAAGAGCUGGCAUUUUAUUGGGUCAGUAACUCAGAAUGGAUAACAAGGAAAACUCACUUCCCACACACCUGAAACUGCCUCUGUCCUCAUCCUCAUGGGAUAAGGAACAGCUGUCUUUUUCACUGUGUUACUGAAAAAGCCACUUGAGCACAGAGUGGAAUUUUACCACUGUUUCUGCACACAUUUAAAUGGAACAAGUUAAAUUUUCAUUUUAUCAAUGAGAAAAGAGAUUCAGGAAAAUUAAAAAAAUUUGCCUCAAAUCACAUAGAUUUUAUAUAGUGAAACUUUAUGAGAACUUGAGCAGUUUGACUUCAGAACAGGUGUUCUUAACCACUAGGAUAUUUAUCAUGGACAGCGGUUUGUCUCCUGGAGUCAUGCCUCAAAACCACGGUCGCACUUUGCUUUUAUGGGGUGUCCAGAGCAAUGAAGAGUCAGAUUGUCCACCUGCCUACCUCUCACCAAGGAAGAAGGUUCUGAUGAGAAAUUCCAGCCCUGUAAGAAUCAGCCAUCGUAGCUUCCCCUCUGGCUCAGCGGAUUCUUUCUUCCAAUAAUAUGGAAAAUGGUACUUUGUACCUAUUUUAUAUUCUUCUGCAGAAAACUGCCCUGAAAGGAAGAGACAUCAUCGACAUCAUCAUAAGAAAUAAAUAACUGGAACAGAUUUAAUUCAGGCUAUUAAAAAUAAAAUUUAGAUCUCUAAAUUCUAAUGAUGUGUGUUUAAAAAUCCUCAGUCAUUGUGGAUUUAUUAAAAUUACUUUAUUCAAUGUAAUUGUUGGUAUUUAAUUGUUCACCUCUCACAACUCAUUACGGCUUUAAUAACACUUUUCUAAAUGAGAAAUAUCAUGGUACGUAUAUAAACAUACAUGUUGCCUUAUAGUUUACAAAAUGGUUUUAUCUAAAUUAUCAUUCUGGAUCAUCUUCAUAUUCUUUAAUUAUAUAUUAAUAUAUAAUGAAUUUACUAACAGAAAGCUAAUUUGUAUCAAAAUUCUUAUCUGGGAAGUUAAGCGACCAAACUAAUUACAAAAAAACAUUCAGGCACAAACUAAGAUAUACUUAAGUCCUUAGCACUCAUUAAAGAAAGUAUUUGGACAGCACAAUGCUUUAAAACAGUACUGGAUUCCCAUCAACCUCUAAGGUCCCCCACCCAGCUCUUGAGAAGUUUUUGCCAAGUAGUGAAAAGUGACCUCCCUCCCCCACUAGCCUUUAUUCCCAAGGCUCAGGCAGAGAGGAACAUUUCUCCAAGAGUGUGUUAAUUAAGUCCCUUAAUAAUAAGGGGGUGUAAAGCACUAUAAGAUUUUAAUUUGUCUUUCUAUGGAAAUUCAUGAUAGGAUUUCUUUUUCAUCUAUUUUGUUAUUGCGAAAUACGCCAUCACAAUAAUUGAAUUUUUAACACUGCAAAUGGCUCAUAACAACACCUUGCAUCACCACUUCAAUUCCAAUUUUAACAUAAUUAGGACAUUAUAGGUAGAGAGAUAGUAAAGCCAUUUUUUUUUUCAUUGUCAGCACCAAGAAUAACUCCAUGAUUUUUGUCAUCUGGG